CCUACGGGUGGCAGCAGUGAGGAAUAUUGGUCAAUGGGCGCAACCCUGAACCAGCCACGUCGCGUGAAGGAUGACUGCCCUACGGGUUGUAAACUUCUUUUAUAGGGGAGUAAAGUGAGGCACGUGUGCCUUUUUGUCUGUACUUUAUGAAUAAGGCUCGGCUAACUCCGUGCCAGCAGCCGCGGUAAUACGGAGGAACCGAGCGUUAUCCGGAUUUAGUGGGUUUAAAGGGAGCGGAGAUGGGUUGUUAAGUCAGUUGUGAAAGUUUGCGGCUCAACCGUAAAAUUGCAAUUGAUACUGGCAGUCUUGAGUACAGUUGAGGUAGGCGGAAUUCGUGGUGUAGCGGUGAAAUGCGUAGAUAUCACGAAGAACUCCGAUGGCGAAGGCAGCUUACUAAACUGCCACUGACAUUGAUGCUCGAAAGUGUGGGGAUCAAACAGGAUUAGAUACCCGUGUAGUC
rnacentral:rRNA from 1 species